AGGACGAACGCUGGCGGCGUGCUUAACACAUGCAAGUCGAGCGGAAAGGCCCUUCGGGGUACUCGAGCGGCGAACGGGUGAGUAACACGUGAGUAAUCUGCCCUUAGCUCUGGGAUAGCUCCGGGAAACCGGGAUUAAUACCAGAUACGACCACACUAGACAUCUUCCGUGGUGGAAAGAAUUUCGGCUAGGGAUGAACUCGCGGCCUAUCAGCUUGUUGGUGAGGUAACGGCUCACCAAGGCGACGACGGGUAGCCGGCCUGAGAGGGCGACCGGCCACACUGGGACUGAGACACGGCCCAGACUCCUACGGGAGGCAGCAGUGGGGAAUAUUGCGCAAUGGGCGAAAGCCUGACGCAGCGACGCCGCGUGGGGGAUGAAGGCCUUCGGUUGUAAACCCCUUUCAGCAGGACGAAGCGAAAGUGACGGUACCUGCAGAAGAAGCGCCGGCUAACUACGCGCCAGCAGCCGC
rnacentral:rRNA from 1 species